UAUAUUUUAGUGUAGGAUGCACGAUAAUUUUUGAUAUUGAAGGAUAUAGUUUAACUCUAUAAAAUAUAA
rnacentral:tRNA from 1 species